UACGGGGGGGGGCAAGCGUUGUUCGGAAUUACUGGGCGUAAAGGGCGCGUAGGCGGUGCUCUAAGUCGGAUGUGAAAACUCUGGGCUCAACCCAGAGCCUGCAUCCGAAACUGGAGUGCUAGAGUUCUGGAGGGGGUAGCGGAAUUCCUGGUGUAGCGGUGAAAUGCGUAGAUAUCAGGAGGAACACCGGUGGCGAAGGCGGCUACCUGGACAGAAACUGACGCUGAGGCGCGAAAGCUAGGGGAGCAAACAGG
rnacentral:rRNA from 1 species